CAAAACCACGUCCCCAACUUUGUUCCAUCACCCCGUCAUUGAUGGUGGCCCCCAAAACCACGUCCCCCAAUGGCCACAUCCACAACUUGUGUUCCAUCACUCCAUCAUUGAUGGUGGCCCCCAAAACCACAUCCCCAACUUUGUUCUAUCACUCCAUCAUUGAUGGUGGCCCCCAAAACCACGUUCGCCAAUGGCCACAUCCCCACACCCCCAUCCCAUUGCCUGCUCUCACCGGUGGCCCCCAUAAACACGUCCCCACCGCGUGGUAUCACUGGAACCUCCAGGUGUCCCUCACGUGUCCCUCACGUGUCCCUCACGGUCCCGCAGGUGAAGGUGCUCAAGUGCAUCAGCCCGGUGGAGCUGCAGGACGUGGUGCUGGGCCAGUACGUGGGCGACCCCGAGGGCCCCCCCGAGGCACAGAAGGGCUACCUGGACGACCCCACGGUGCCCGCCGGCUCCACCACGCCCACCUUCGCCACCGCCGUGCUGCGCGUGGCCAACGAGCGCUGGGACGGUGAGAGGGCGCGGCGGAGACGGGGCCAUGGGGGUGACUUGUGUGGUGUGAUGGGGAUGGUGGCCAGGAGAUGGUGCUGAUGAUGAUGGUGGUGGGCAAGAGAUGGUGCUGAUGAUUGUGGUUGUGGAGAUGGUGAUGAUGAAGCUGGUGAUGAUGAUGAUGGUGGCCAGAAGAUGGUGCUGAUGAUGGUGCUGCUCAUGCUGGUGGCCAGGAGAUGGUGCAGUUGAUGGUGAUAAUGGUGGGCCAGGAGAUGGUGUUGAUGAUGAUGGUGAUGAUGAUGACGGCCAGGAGAUGGUGCUGGUGAUGGUGAUGGCCAAGAGAUGGCGCUGGUGAUGAUGGUGAUGAUGAUGGUGGCCAGGAGAUGGUGCUGUUGAUGGUGAUGAUGAUGAUGGCCAGGAGAUGGUGCUGUUGAUGAUGAUUGCCAGGAGAUGGUGUUGAUGAUGGUGAUAAUGAUGAUGGUGGCCAGGAGAUGGUGCUGGUGAUGGUGAUGGCCAAGAGAUGGUGCUGGUGAUGGUGGUGAUGAUGGUGUUGGUCAUGGAGAUGGUGAUGAUGAUGGUGGUGAUGCUGAUGAUGGCCAGGAGAGGGUGAUGAUGAUGGUGAUGAUGAUGAUGGUGGCCAGGAGAGGGUGAUGAUGAUGGAGUCCAUGGAGAUGGUGCUGCUGCUGCUGCUCGUGCUGGUGGUCAUGGAGAUGGUGCUGUUGAUGGUGGUGGCCAGGAGACAGUGCUGAUGAUGGUGAUGAUGAUGAUGGUGGCCACAGAGACAGUGCUGAUGAUGGCAAUGAUGACAAUAUCGUUGUGUAUUGAUGACGACGAUGAUGAUGACAACGAUGAUGUCGAUGGGUGAUGAUGAUGACGAUGGCGCUGUCCCCAGGUGUCCCCUCUGUCCUGUGCUGAGGGAAUGCUCUGAAGGAGCACAAGGCCAAGGUGUGGCUGCAGUGGUGGGGGAUGAUGAUGAUGGUGAUGAUGAUGAUGAUGAUGGUGAUGAUGAUGAUGGUGAUAGAGGCC
rnacentral:lncRNA from 1 species